UACGGAGGAUGCAAGCGUUAUCCGGAUUUAUUGGGUUUAAAGGGUGCGUAGGUGGGAUGAUAAGUCAGAGGUGAAAGCUAGCAGCUUAACUGUUAAAUUGCCUUUGAUACUGUUAUUCUUGAGUGUAGUUGGCGUUGGCGGAAUGUGACAUGUAGCGGUGAAAUGCGUAGAUAUGUCACAGAACACCGAUCGCGAAGGCAGCUAACGAAGCUAUCACUGACACUGAUGCACGAAAGCGUGGGGAGCAAACAGG
rnacentral:rRNA from 1 species